rnacentral:tRNA from 2 species
GGCUCCCUAGCUCAAUGGCAGAGCAGUGGACUUUUAAUCCAACGGUUCAGGGUUCGAAUCCCUGGGGAGCCACCA